GACGAACGCUGGCGGCAUGCCUAAUACAUGCAAGUCGAGCGAACAGAUGAAGUGCUUGCACUUCUGACGUUAGCGGCGAACGGGUGAGUAACACGUAAGGAAUCUACCUAUAAGCGGGGGAUAACAUUCGGAAACGGGUGCUAAUACCGCAUAAUAUCUUCUUCCGCAUGGAAGAAGAUUGAAAGACGGCUCUGCUGUCACUUAUAGAUGACCUUGCGGUGCAUUAGUUAGUUGGUGGGGUAACGGCCUACCAAGACGAUGAUGCAUAGCCGACCUGGGAGGGUGAUCGGCCACAGUGGGAAUGAGACACGGCCCAAACUCCUACGGGAGGCAGCAGUAGGGAAUCUUCCGCAAUGGGCGAAAGCCUGACGGAGCAAUGCCGCGUGAGUGAAGAAGGCCUUCGGGUCGUAAAACUCUGUUAUAAGAGAAGAACAAAUUGUAGAGUAACUGCUACAGUCUUGACGGUAUCUUAUCAGAAAGCCACGGCUAACUACGUGCCAGCCGCCGCGGUAA
rnacentral:rRNA from 1 species